rnacentral:rRNA from 1 species
CUUGAACUUUAUAAGAGGUCCAGCCUGCCCAGUGACUCUGUUCAACGGCCGCGGUAUCCUAACCGUGCGAAGGUAGCGUAAUCACUUGUUCUUUAAAUGUGGACUAGUAUGAAUGGCACUACGAGGGUUAUACUGUCUCCUUUUUCUAAUCAGUGAAACUAAUUUUCCCGUGAAGAAGCGGGAAUAUAACUAUAAGACGAGAAGACCCUAUGGAGCUUUAAACAACCCAGCAAUUACCUAUAAAAAUUAUAAAUUUCAGAAUAUUCAUUUUUUUAAGUAAUAUGUCUGCAAGUUUUUGGUUGGGGUGACCAUGGAGAAUAACAUAACCUCCAUGUUGAACGAAUUCCCUUCUAAGCUGAAAAUUACCUAUUGAAGCAUCAAUACACUGACAUCUAUUGACCCAAUAUAUUUGAUCAACGAACCAAGUUACCCUAGGGAUAACAGCGCAAUCCACUUCAAGAGCCCCUAUCGACAAGUGGGUUUACGACCUCGAUGUUGGAUCAGGGUAUCCCAGUGGCGCAGCC